GAACAUCAGCAUUUAAUCCAUAAAGAGGAACUAAUGAGAAAUUUGAAAAUGGAAUCCACGCAUCAGGUGUUUGGAAGGGAAGAGUGACUCCUAUCAUUUCCAGCAAUGGAAAGAGCAUGUCAUAAAGCAAUUCACAAGUGUAUGGAUGCACCCACCCUAGAAA
rnacentral:lncRNA from 1 species